CCUACGGGCGGCUGCAGUGGGGAAUAUUGCACAAUGGGCGCAAGCCUGAUGCAGCCAUGCCGCGUGUGUGAAGAAGGCCUUCGGGUUGUAUAGCACUUUCAGCGGGGAGGAAGGCGUUAAGGUUAAUAACCUUAUCGAUUGACGUUACCCGCAGAAGAAGCACCGGCUAACUCCGUGCCAGCAGCCGCGGUAAUACGGAGGGUGCAAGCGUUAAUCGGAAUUACUGGGCGUAAAGCGCACGCAGGCGGUCUGUCAAGUCGGAUGUGAAAUCCCCGGGCUCAACCUGGGAACUGCAUUCGAAACUGGCAGGCUAGAGUCUUGUAGAGGGGGGUAGAAUUCCAGGUGUAGCGGUGAAAUGCGUAGAGAUCUGGAGGAAUACCGGUGGCGAAGGCGGCCCCCUGGACAAAGACUGACGCUCAGGUGCGAAAGCGUGGGGAGCAAACAGGAUUAGAUACCCUUGUAGUC
rnacentral:rRNA from 1 species